UGUUUUAGUGUCUAGCCCGUCAUACCGGGAUGAUAAUAGUUUCUCCCGAAAGCAUAAAGCGUAUUUUAUGUAUGAUUUUCAAUUCUUUGAUCAAAACAUAUUUUUUCCGAAAUUUUUCGCAAGAGUUUGCUUCGCUUAGUCAAAAUAUAUUAAGGAAGUCACUUAUUAAUCACUGAAAAAAAUGUGAAAUAACAAGUGUGAGCGAAGCGAGCAAAACUUAUUUAGAUCCAGAAAUUGUAUCAUUA